GAUGAACGCUAGCGGCAGGCUUAAUACAUGCAAGUCGAGGGGCAGCAGGGGUAGCAAUACCCGCUGGCGACCGGCAAACGGGUGCGGAACACGUACAGAACCUUCCUUUAAGUGGGGAAUAGCCCGGAGAAAUCCGGAUUAAUACCCCGUAACAUUAUUGAAGUGGCAUCACUUUAUAAUUAUAGAUUUAUUCGCUUAGAGGUGGCUGUGCGGCUGAUUAGGUAGUUGGUGCGGGUAACGGCCCACCAAGCCUGCGAUCAGUAACUGGUGUGAGAGCACGACCAGUCACACGGGCACUGAGACACGGGCCCGACUCCUACGGGA
rnacentral:rRNA from 1 species